GUCCCUGUAGCACAAUGAACAGCGCUUUGGACUUCUAAUCCAAAGGUCGUGGAUUUGAAUCCCACCUGGGAUG